rnacentral:rRNA from 1 species
CCUACGGUGGCAGCAGUGAGGAAUAUUGGUCAAUGGACGCAAGUCUGAACCAGCCAUGCCGCGUGCAGGAAGACGGCUCUAUGAGUUGUAAACUGCUUUUGUACGAGGGUAAAUCCCGAUACGUGUAUCGGGGUGAAAGUAUCGUACGAAUAAGGAUCGUCGAACUCCGUGCCAGCAGCCGCGGUAAUACGGAGGAUUGAAGCGUUAUCCGGAGUUAUUGUGUUUAAAGGGCGCGUAGGCGGUUCUCUAAGAUAGAGUUGAAAUCCCGGGGCUCAACUCCGGCACUGCCUCUGAUACUGUCGGGCUAGAGUUUAGUUGCGGUAGGCGGAAUGUAUGGUGUAGCGGUGAAAUGCAUAGAGAUCAUACAGAACACCGAUGGCGAAGGCAGCUUACCAAACUACGACUGACGUUGAGGCACGAAAGCGUGGGGAGCAAACAGGAUUAGAUACCCGAGUAGUC